rnacentral:rRNA from 1 species
GACGAACGCUGGCGGCGUGCUUAACACAUGCAAGUCGAACGGAAAGGCCCUGCUUUUGUGGGGUGCUCGAGUGGCGAACGGGUGAGUAACACGUGAGUAACCUGCCCUUGACUUUGGGAUAACUUCAGGAAACUGGGGCUAAUACCGGAUAGGAGCUCCUGCUGCAUGGCGGGGGUUGGAAAGUUUCGGCGGUUGGGGAUGGACUCGCGGCUUAUCAGCUUGUUGGUGGGGUAGAGGCUUACCAAGGCUUUGACGGGUAGCCGGCCUGAGAGGGUGAGCGGUCAGAAUGGGAGUGAGACACGGCGGAGACGCCUACGGGAGGCAGCGGUGGGGAAGAUUGGACAAUGGGCGCAAGCCUGAUCCAGCAAUGCGGCGUGGGUGAAGAAGGUGUUCGGAUUGUAAAGCCAUGUCGGAGGGGACGAUGAUGAAGGGAGACGAAGAAGAAGCCCCGGCUAACUUCGUG